UGAACUCCACCACGCCGCAGCUGCUGUCAUUGGCCCUGGUAGCCCCAAGCACGCCAGUGACACUGCGCUGCCUCUCGGGGUCAAUUAGUCCUUUUUCUGUCCAAAUACCUGGGGCUCCAGCGCUCGGGCCAACAGUGGCCGCGCUAGGGGUGCCGCCAAGGCGGCCGCCUCGGGCUAAGUCAAUGAGCGCCACCCGUGGGCUCAGGAACCCCGCCGGGCAGUAAACAGAAGUUGGAGGGACUCAGGCCAACCGCAAGUUGCACUACUGGAAGAACUCUUCCGGGAGCAAGCCCAGCACCGGGUGGGAAGGCCGGCUCUGAGCUCAGUGCACUGGGUUUUUUUUUUUCUUUUUUAAAGAGAUCGUGCAGGCAGGAGAGCAAGCGUCCCCAAAGUCAAUCGCAAGACAGCUCCGGGAUGCCAACAGAGGAGGCCCAGAGUCCCCUGCCCCUGGCCGAGGCGCUUGCCCGAUGCGCUCCAGCUACCGGGGGGCCCCCCGGCUCCGCGUCCCGUGUGACCCCGCAGGGUACGGGGAGAGUCGGGCUGGCGGCCGCACGCAAGCACGCUCAGGUGCCAAGCCGGGCUCCCGGCCCGCGCUCCACCCGCUGCAGCCCUGCACCCCAGGAAGGCCAGGCAGGCAGGCGCAGCCCAGCGACCUCCCUGCGGCCCGAAGAGGUGUCAGUCCUCACAUGAGACUUUUCUGGAAAGACGACGUCAACGUUUGCUUUGGGCCAAGUAUCUCUGUCCCUCUCCAGCACCCCAUCAUGUUCCACGCUUAGUAUUUUAAGAUGGAUACUGUAGGUAACCAGUUGCCUCGCAGGAUGUGCGGAAAAGCUGCUUUAGGCUCCCUGUCUGCAAUGAUGUCAGUGUAUCUGAAUAUAUGAGCCUGAGCCUGUUCAUGCAAAGUAUUUUCACCCCAGGGCCUUUGUUAAGAUGAAGAGGCCCUUCUGAUAGCCUAAGGCCAUGACACCUUGUUUGGUCUUCCUCUGCAGCAUUAGCUGUUAAAAAUUAAUUGUCGUCUCCCUCCAUGAAAACUUCAGUGACAUCCAGAUCAAAAAAGUAGAAGUAAUCUGGUAAUCAACAGAGACCCGUCACUAGACAACAUGUAGAGACUGAAAGACUUUGGAGCACUCACUCAGUUCUAAAUGGGAUGUCUUUAUUACACCCUUCACCUCAAGACCCAGGGAUCUUUGAAGAAGAGGAAGUGGAGAGAUUGUAAGAGCCAGAGGUGGUGGCCAACUCCGAGGACAGCGUUUUCCUGGCACAACAAGGCUGAAGCAAGUAUGAACUUGCAGAAACUCAGACAGCAUACACAAGACAUACAUAAGUUUAAGAUAAACAAAACCUCAGCGUAGAGAAGGAGAGUUAGUCCCACCUCUAUUGGUAGCUGCCAAGAGAGGGGAAAUUGGUUUUCUCCAAUGGAGCAACACUGGGUUUACCAAUCACACUCCAAGGCCAGCCCCGUACUCAGAAGCACUUGACCAAUACAGAACAAACUCCAUACUUUGGUGGGUGUUCAUUUGUACUGGGUGUUUUCUCCUUUUUGUUUUGAUUUGGUUUGGGUGGGUUAUUUCUCUUUGAAGAUAGCAAAAUAAUAAAAGUUUGGUGAGUCGGGAGGGAGAGAGGAUCAGGGAGGAACUGGAAAAAGGAAAAGAAAUAUAUUGUAUGAAAAAAUGUUAAAAAUAAUAAAGUAUUCUUUGUGCUACUCA